rnacentral:rRNA from 1 species
AGAGUUUGAUCAUGGCUCAGAACGAACGCUGGCGGCGUGCUUAACACAUGCAAGUCGAACGAGAAAGCUUCCUUCGGGAAGUGAGUAGAGUGGCGCACGGGUGAGUAACGCGUAGGUAAUCUACCCUUAUAUCUGGGAUAGCCGACCGAAAGGUUGGCUAAUACCGGAUACCCUUUUUAUAUCGCGAGUUAUAGAGAGGAAAGGUGACCUCUGAUCAAGUUGCCGUAUAGGGAUGAGCCUGCGUACCAUUAGCUAGUUGGUGGGGUAAAGGCCUACCAAGGCGACGAUGGUUAGCGGGUCUGAGAGGAUGAUCCGCCACACUGGAACUGGAACACGGACCAGACUCCUACGGGAGGCAGCAGUGAGGAAUAUUGCGCAAUGGGGGCAACCCUGACGCAGCGACGCCGCGUGGGUGAGGAAGGUUUUCGGAUCGUAAAGCCCUGUCAGGUGGGAAGAAGUGUUAUACGGUUAAUACCCGUAUAAUUUGACGGUACCACCAGAGGAAGCACCGGCUAACUCCGUGCCAGCAGCCGCGGUGAUACGGAGGGUGCGAGCGUUGUUCGGAAUUACUGGGCGUAAAGGGCGCGUAGGCGGCUUGAUAAGUCAGAUGUGAAAGCCCACGGCUCAACCGUGGAAGUGCAUCUGAAACUGUCUGGCUUGAGUAUUGGAUGGGAAAGUGGAAUUCCAGGUGUAGAGGUGAAAUUCGUAGAUAUCUGGAGGAACACCGGUGGCGAAAGGCGACUUUCUGGACAAAUACUGACGCUGAGGCGCGAAAGCGUGGGGAGCAAACAGGAUUAGAUACCCUGGUAGUCCACGCCGUAACGAUGAUAACUAGAGGUAGGGGGGUGUUGAUCCCUUCUGUCCCGCAGCUAACGCAUUAAGUUAUCCGCCUGGGGAGUACGGUCGCAAGAUUAAAACUCAAAGGAAUUGAC